rnacentral:rRNA from 1 species
AUUGAACGCUGGCGGCAGGCCUAACACAUGCAAGUCGAACGAGUGGCGGACGGGUGAGUAAUGUCUGGGAAACUGCCUGAUGGGGGGGGAUAACUACUGGAAACGGUAGCUAAUACCGCAUACCCUCAGAUGUGCCCAGAUGGGAUUGGCUAGUUGGUGGGGUACCGGCUCCCCAAGGCGACGACCCCUAGCUGGUCGGAGAGGAUGACCGGCCAAACUGGAACGGGGACACGGGCCAGACUCUAACGGGAGGAAGCAGUGGGGAAUAUUGCACAAUGGGCGAAAGCCUGAUGCAGCCAUGCCGGGGGGAUGAAGAAGGCCUUCGGGUUGUAAAGUACUUUCAGCGGGGAGGCGUUACCCGAAGAGGAAGCACCGGCUAACUCCGUGCCAGCAGCCGCGGUAAUUC